UACGUAGGGGGCAAGCGUUGUCCGGAAUUAUUGGGCGUAAAGAGCGCGUAGGCGGUCCGAUAAGUCGGCUGUGAAAGUCAGGGGCUCAACCCUUGGAAGCCGGCCGAUACUGUCGGACUAGAGUCCGGAAGAGGCGAGUGGAAUUCCCGGUGUAGCGGUGAAAUGCGCAGAUAUCGGGAGGAACACCAAUGGCGAAGGCAGCUCGCUGGGACGGUACUGACGCUGAGGCGCGAAAGCUAGGGGAGCAAACAGG
rnacentral:rRNA from 1 species